ACCAUCAGAUGGCUAACAACUGACUUGGCCAGAUGCCUUGACAUAUAGGGUUGUUGUGUUUCUGUUCCUGGAAUCACUAAGCAGUGUUGUAAAAAUCACAGGGAAGCCAGUAAUAAGAUGUUGCCUUUGUACACAUGGCAGCUUGUGCACAUAUCCCUACUUCCCCUAGCCUGGCCAUGGUGUGCGAAGGCAUGUUCCACUGCCAGCCAGCCUCUGAUGUUCCCCAAUUCCAGCUUCCUUUCCUGUAAUCUGGAGUGUUGGGCUAAAGAUGUGCUCAGGGGAACAUUGUUCUUCGCCACAGCCUAUCUCUGAGCCCUCAGCUAGGUGUUUAAUUAGAAGCAAGGAUGGAGCUCUUCACUCCACGGGGCUAGAGAUCUGGACUGGAAGCCACAAGGAGCAAGCAAGGGUUUUCUUCCAGUUUCAGAUGCGGCACUGCAGAAUUCUCUCUGGAGUUCAUUUGUUUACUUCACAGUCUACGCUGUGAGAGUUGGAACUGGGUCUGUGUCCCCGAUACUGCAGGACCAGAUCCUAGAAGAGUGCGUGGUGUCGGAGGCAUUCAGCAAAUGUUUGAUGACUCAAUGGAUAAGCAUGAGGAUGGAGCAAGAUCUCCGAGGAUCUGGCAGUUGCAGUGCUUAUAAACUUUCCAAUCUUUCAGAGACUCGCAGGAGACCCAGAGGCUGCAGAAGAGUCAGUCUGGCCUCUUCGUGGGUUCUCCCAGCUUGCAUUCAGCAGAAACUACCAUUGCUCUUUCAGAGAAACUUUACAGACUGGAGUCUAUUCAGACCCACAGUUCCCACAAUACCAAAGCCUCAGUAGACAGAUGCAUGGGGGCCUCCAGGGUUCACCUCUUUGAAGAUUUAUCUCUUCUCCUGAGCCUUGGCCACUUGCUCCAUCAACCUGCUUCAGUGUUUGAAGAGUCCAGCAGCUUAAUCCUGUGACCAGAUUUUCCUGAGUUCUGAGGCUAUCUUUCUGUGUUCCUCCUACAGAAGCACCUAAGAAAUGCCAUGCAUGGGGAUUUCAUAGCAGGUUCUGUUUUCCCUCUGCAAUCCCAAAGGAAGUGAAUAUUCUUUCCCACCAUGCAUUGCCUCUCUCCUAUCUGGCCUCUGGUCACUGUUUGCUUUCAUGUCUCAGUGACUUGGAUAUGCCACUUUCCUGCCUCGUGUGAACCACCUUCCUCUGCUGGGACACUGAGAGACCUGAGCCAGCAGCCAGUUGUAACACUGCCUUGGGCUGGAUGCUUCCUUGAUGCUGUUACUAGCUUUCUAUCUUGUUGCAGCAAUUUGCUCCAGCAGAAUGGAAAUUCAGCUUUCAGAGAUGUCAGAGAGGGCUGAUGAAUAAGGCCCUGGUUAGGGUGUGUGGUACAGCCCAGAAGAGCACUCUGGUGACCUGAGUCCAGAACUUCAUCUCAUUACCUGCAUGCCUUUGUCUCUUUAUGUAUGUUACAGAUAGGAUGGUUUUUGAAGGAGUCCAGGUCCUGGAAGGAUGGAGGACCACUGUCCUGAAAUAAACACAUCACUUUACUGC
rnacentral:lncRNA from 1 species